rnacentral:rRNA from 1 species
GAUGAACGCUGGCGGCGUGCCUAAUACAUGCAAGUCGAGCGAAUGGAUUAAGAGCUUGCUCUUAUGAAGUUAGCGGCGGACGGGUGAGUAACACGUGGGUAACCUGCCCAUAAGACUGGGAUAACUCCGGGAAACCGGGGCUAAUACCGGAUAACAUUUUGAACCGCAUGGUUCGAAAUUGAAAGGCGGCUUCGGCUGUCACUUAUGGAUGGACCCGCGUCGCAUUAGCUAGUUGGUGAGGUAACGGCUCACCAAGGCAACGAUGCGUAGCCGAGCGGGGAGGGUGAUCGGCCACACUGGGACUGAGACACGGCCCAGACUCCUACGGGAGGCAGCAGUAGGGAAUCUUCCGCAAUGGACGAAAGUCUGACGGAGCAACGCCGCGUGAGUGAUGAAGGCUUUCGGGUCGUAAAACUCUGUUGUUAGGGAAGAACAAGUGCUAGUUGAAUAAGCUGGCACCUUGACGGUACCUAACCAGAAAGCCACGGCUAACUACGUGCCAGCAGCCGCAGUAA